rnacentral:lncRNA from 1 species
GGUGAAAGGGGGGCAAAAAUGAAUGCAACUGAUCGUUCUUUGAGGCUUGGAGAGAAAAAUGGGAUGCAUACCAAAAAGAGAACAUUACUACUCAGAAGAAAGGCAUUUUGUAUUUGGAUAUUGGAGAGAGCAAGUUUGAGUUUUAUAUAUAUAUAUAUACACAGGUCCUUCUCAAAAAAUUAGCAUAUUGUGAUAAAAGUUCAUUAUUUUCCAUAAUGUAAUGAUAAAAAAUAAACUUUCAUAUAGUUUAGAUUCAUUGCACACCAACUGAAAUAUUUCAGGUCUUUUAUUGUUUUAAUACUGAUGAUUUUGGCAUACAGCUCAUGAAAACCCAAAAUUCCUAUCUCAAAAAAUUAGCAUAUCAUGAAAAGGUUCUCUAAACGAGCUAUUAACCUAAUCAUCUGAAUCAACUAAUUAACUCUAAACACCUGCAAAAAGAUUCCUGAGGCUUUUAAAAACUCCCAGCCUGGUUACAUUACUCUAUUGUGAAGAGAAAGUUGAGAGACGCAAGACCCAACACUCUGGAUGAGCUUAAGGCCGCUAUCAAAGCAUCCUGGGCCUCCAUAACACCUCAGCAGUGCCACAGGCUGAUUGCCUCCAUGCCACGCCGCAUUGAAGCAGUCAUUUCUGCAAAAGGAUUCCCGACCAAGUAUUGAGUGCAUAACUGAACAUAAUUAUUUGAAGGUUGACUUUUUUUGUAUUAAAAACACUUUUCUUUUAUUGGUCGGAUGAAAUAUGCAAAUUUUUUGAGAUAGGAAUUUUGGGUUUUCAUGAGCUGUAUGCCAAAAUCAUCAGUAUUAAAACAAUAAAAGACCUGAAAUAUUUCAGUUGGUGUGCAAUGAAUCUAAAAUAUAUGAAAGUUCAAUUUUUAUCAUUACAUUAUGGAAAAUAAUGAACUUUUUCACAAUAUGCUAAUUUUUUGAGAAGGACCUGUAUAUAAAGCAACAGACUUGAGUUUUGGAAUCCCACACUUUAAAAUGCACAUAGGUUUCCAUAUGCCAUGGAACCAGUUAUGCUUUUGCAUGCAACUACAGAAGAUACAGACUAUGCUUUAAAUUUGUAGCAUUAUUUUAAAAAGUUUUAGUAACAAAGUGUCAAAUGCUUUCAAAGGAUAAAAUGCUUUUUAACAGUUUUUGCACAAAGCUAAGAUUUCAUCAGCACAUUUUUAAUGCUUAUACUGUGGUCACAUACUAUCCUUGACACACAUUACAAAAACAAGUUAUUUCAAACUAAACCUCCAACAUUCUUAUAAAUUAGUUUUAAAUACAGGCAUCCUACAUUUAAACAUCCACAUUUAUAUUCAGUAGAGCUGUUUGUAUAGAACCCAACUGAAUGAAAGAAAAAAAAAAAAAAACAAAAAAACAGUGGUGUGCUAUCUGAAAAUAGAAAUUGAAAAUAUGAAGGGGAAAAAAACUGAAUCAAAGUGAAAUGGUAUCUCAAUAAAGACCAGUUUUUCUAACAAGGUUU